UACAAGGGGCGAAAGUUCUGAUAACUCUUGCGUCUUUGUUGUGAAACACGGGAACGCCAACUUUCCGAGUUGACGUUUGUCAAUUAAGUCCUCCGUCCCCACCCCCAGUCUCAGUCUGGCUGUCUCGCUGGAGUCCACGCAGACCAUGACUGGCCAAAACAUACAGCCCGUCUGCACUCCGAAAUGAAAAAAGAGACUGGCUCGCGAGGCUACACACACACAGACGGAGCGGACAGCACGACAGAGAGGCCACGGUGGAGACUGAACCAGCUCCAACCUCCCGGUCCUGCCCGUCCUUCGCCGGCCUCCCAGUCCCCAGUCCAGCUCCGCCACCGAAGCCAGAGGAAUCCCAUCCUGCGCCACGCCAAGCCGGAUCCCGGACCAUCUCCUCACCAACCCUCACGGUCCCUGCUUCAAGUCUGCCCUGGUUCCUACCGCCCCCUGCUGUGUAAUCAAACUUCUCUCUGAAUUCCAUAACACUGCUAUCUUUGAGUCCUGCAUUUUGGGCCCUGCCAAGCACGGAACGUAACAGUUUGUUGCCUUAAAAUUGAGUUGUUCCAACUUUCCUUUUUUACAGUGUAGGAAACUAAAAAAUGACACCAUAAUGUUACCCCUGACCUCACCCUCUAUGUUUGUGCCUCCAGGAAGGGCACAUACACUGGGUAAAUUCAGCAUGCUUGCAAUGCAAAUGAAAUAAAACAAAGAUAACAAAAACAAACAAAACAAAAACUAUAGCUCUAUAGCUUUUGGGGUAAUGCAACUUAUGCCAUUUACAGACCCUAAAGAGAUUUUUUCAGAGAAAAUCAUUAGUGAGGUGUGCAAUCAACUCUUAGGAUGUUGGACUGUGAAUAUACAAUAUUUGUUAUGUGAAAACAAGUGCUUGAUAUUAAAAUUAGGCAAUGAUUUCUGGGGUAAUGAUUCAUGUUGGCAAUAAAGAAUGAAAGUUAGAGAAAUUAAACUAUUUAAAGGAUGGUUUUCUAUGCA